AGUGCAGUCGCAGGCUUUCUUCUUUCGCUUUGCUAGCUUUUGGUUGCUUUGGCGCACUCUGAUGCAGAUGCAGCAGCAGCAGCAGAAUUGAAGAGUGCAUGCAUUCGAUUCAGUGCCCGGCCGGCCCCCUCCAUCAGAAUCAGAUCAUGGAUGAAGCGGGGGAGAAGGCUAUGGCUAGCUGCCUUGGGACUAGCAACCGGAAGCAGCAGAGUACCCUUUGCUGAACGAGGAAACACUCCUUCUGAAAGUACACUGCAUGCUGCUGCUCCAUCGGCAGGCCAAGCUCGGGAGCAUAUAUGUUCUCUUCACAUAAUGACCGCAGCAAGAAUUAACCUUUACUUUGUGACCCGCUGGCUGUUGCAAACGGAAUGUUAGUAUAUUUGCACCAAGCAGGCAAUCCCCAUGAGAGUUACUACGUCAUUUACUUCUCAACUUCUUUUUUUCUUUUCAAAAAGAAAGAUAAACCCUCGGGCUCUGCAUGAAGCGAUGCACAUGUGCCUAUAUGUCUACUGAGAUUUUAACUAAGUCUCACUCAGGGUGACAUAGGAGUAGUAUAUAAGAAGAAGAAAAAAGCUAAAAGGAAAAUUUUGCAUGGAUCUCCACGCAAGAUCGAACGAAUAUAGCAUCAACCGAGACAUAACCAAGUCUCAAGUUGACUAAAACUUAGCAAAACCGUUAUUAUAUUAUUCAACAGAGUCUGACAAAAUAAAUACAAGAAUCAAUCCAAAGCCACCUUCCUGGUAAUCUAUGUUGCUACACCUACAAACAGCUUUAUGAUGUGCCAUGACCGCACCAACACACAAUAUCUAAUUCGGUCCUCACGAAGCCGCCCGGAGCACGCUGAGAGCACCAACCGGUCUAGCAAACCCGCAGCGCGCACCAACAAAAAAUCACCAACUUGCUUAACUAUUACUACGACUGAAGAAUACAUACUUGUACUGCUAGCUAGCUAUGUGAAAGUAUAAAAGCUUCAAAAAUACAACCUCGACUUGUGUACAACUUUGUACUCCCGCGCUCAUGUAUAGUACGUGGCUUGCUAUGCAAUUUCACACCUCUUUUCUCUCUUUGCCUUUUUUGGCUAGCUAGCUACCUAGCUAUAGGAGGCCGGCUACCUAGGUAUGGUAUGGACGGUGGAUAUAUGUAUGUGUGCGUAGAGAGAGAACAUGCUAAAUUCCUGUCAAGUCUCCGUCUCUCUCUCCCUCCAUGAUGUCCCUUAUCUCCUCACCUCUUUUUAUUUAUUCGUAUCAUAUCAUGCACAUCAGUUCAUUCAUCGCCGCCGCGUGACUUGGGUUAAUUGUCCACAUAAAUUGACCAUCUUGCAGGUCUUGCCCUACGAUAAAUGUAUAUAGAUCUUUCUGAAUUGCUCUCUGGAAUUACUGCAUGCAUGCGUGAUAUGCGCGUGGAGUGGAGAAGAGGCCAGACGCAAAGACAGGGCGCGCAUGCAUGCAACGCAUAUGCUUUGUGAUGACAAACUUUGGAGGUUUCCUUUGUGGGCGCAGCUUUAGUAACAUUCCUCUUCUCUUCUUACUCAUCACACAUCAGUAGUAACUUCUACUCCUUGGCUCUAUGCAAAACAUUGAUCGUGGGAAGAAAAACACACCGCAUGUCAACAUAUAUUUUUUAAGGGGUGUUUGGUUCCAGGGACUUU